UCUUUUCCCAUUAUUUUUAAAAAUUCUUUUUCAAAGCUGACCCUUUGAGAGCCCACAUUCUCAAAUUCUGUCUUCACUGCUCUCUCAUUUCCUUUCAUCCCUGUUCCUCUGUUUGAAUACACCCAACACACACACACACAUCCCAAGAGGGGACUCCACUAAGAAUAACUCACCCAUUUCCCUAGGAGGGAACUAGGCACCUGCAGGUCAACAAGGCCUGAGAAGCCAGAGUUCUUCAGAGUGUGGGCUCCACCUUAAUGUGAAUCUGCCUCUUUAAUUAAUAUUUCCAUCAACUUGGCUGCUAAUGUAUCCUCUUUUUCUUCAGUUUCUUCAUCUGUAAAAUGGGGGUGAUGAUCAUUGUACCUACAUGUAAAGUACAUUACAAAAGGAUGCCACUCCUUUAUUCUUUGCUAAUAAUAGCCACAUUUAUUGAGGCCUUCUAGGCCAGAUGCUGUUCCAAGUGCAAGUUUUGGUAGGCAGAAUAGGAGAGAUUGGUGGUGGGGGUGGGAGUACUAUGAGCAUGACAUGGGAGAAAGAGAAAGAGCAUCAAAAAAGGAACUAAGAGUUGCAGAAUAGCAAAACUGAAGUUCAGUUCAAAACAAAUUUCAUUUCUUCUAUUUCCAAUUUUUCUAGACUUAGUCCUGAUCAGUUACUCCAGAAAACCUACAGGAAUCUCACUGAGGGAGAGAGUGCGGACUAAUAUUUCAUUUCUCCCCACUCCUCCCUCUGAGGAAUCCAGGACUUCAUUGUGGACCCCUGUAUUAGUCCAUUUUCACACUGCUACAAAGAGCUACCUGAGACUGGGAGUACAGAAUAUAAAUAUAGAGUGCCCUCCUGUCUCCCCAAUGUCAUUGCCUUGCUCUGUGAACAAACCCAGAGGUCCAACGUUUGUGGCAGGCCAUCUUCUACUCACUUCAGAAGACGAAUAUGACAAUGCGACCCAUUCCCUGAGAUGUUUUACAACUUGAGGGAAAAAAGUGUGACUCUCAGAUGUACCAGCUGUUAUGCCAGAGACAACCCUCAGAUCACCUGGGACUUGCUCCUUGUUGCCUCCUCUUUGAUCUUUGCAUCAGAGGGCCCUGCCAGUCUCUGUCCUCACAGUCCCCAGUCUCUUGGUAAGUGCUACUCUUCACACCUUCACACCAGCUCUACGAAAUAGAUAGAAAGCUGACAAUAUUCGGCAGCUGUUCUCCUCCAUGAACAAUUGAGAUAACUUAAAAAUGUUCUGCAGCAAUGUAGAUCUUCUACUUUUUGCCCCAUCCUUACUAAAAAUGAAACACUUCUUGACUCCGAAAGAUUGGUAAAUAUUUGCUGAACAGAAGAGUAGUAGAUUCAUUUCCCUAAAACUCUGCUGUGGU